rnacentral:rRNA from 1 species
AUUGAACGCUGGCGGCAGGCCUAACACAUGCAAGUCGAGCGAGCGGCGGACGGGUGAGUAAUGUAUGGGGACUGCCCGAUAGAGGGGGAUAACUACUGGAAACGGUAGCUAAUACCGCAUACUAUCGGAUAACCCAUAUGGGAUUAGCUAGUAGGUGAGGUAAUGGCUCACCUAGGCGACGAGCCCGAGCUGGUCUUAGAGGAUGAUCAGCCACACUGGGACUGAGACCCGGCCCAGACGCCUACGGAGACAACAGUGGGGAAUAUUGCCCAAUGGGCGCAAGCCUGAUGCAUCCAGUCCGCGUUGAUGAAGAAGGCCCUAGGGUUUUAAAGUACUUUCAGUCGGGGGGCGUUACCGACAGAAGAAGCACCGGCUAACUCCGUGCCAGCCGCCGCGGUAAUUC